rnacentral:pre_miRNA from 1 species
CAAGGCAUUUUCGUUAACUCUCCCUCAAGGGCUUCUAGCAAUGCCGGAACACACAUAAGGCAAGCUUGGAGCUGUUGGGGAGAGUUAACAAAAAGUGUCUUG